rnacentral:rRNA from 1 species
GACGAACGCUGGCGGCGUGCUUAACACAUGCAAGUCGAGCGGCGCGGCGAACGGGUGAGUAACGCGUGAGUAACUGCCCCCCUCUCUGGGAUAACAGUUGGAAACGGCUGCUAAUACCGGCUAGUGGGGGAUGACUCGCGUCCUAUCAGCUUGUUGGUGGGGUAGUGGCCUACGAAGGCGACGACUGGUAGCCGGCCUGAGAGGGCGACCGGCCACAGUGGGCUGAGAUACGGCCCAAACGCCUACGGGAGGCAGCAGUGGGGAAUAUUGCAGAAUGGGGGAAACCCAGUGGCAGCAACGCCGCGUGCGGGAUGACGGCUUGCGGGUUGUAAACCGCUUUCAUCCAUAACGCGGUAGUGACAGAGGAAGCACCGGCUAACUACGUGCCAGCAGCCGCGGUAAUUC